rnacentral:rRNA from 1 species
UGGGGAAUUUUGGACAAUGGGCGAAAGCCUGAUCCAGCAAUGCCGCGUGUGUGAAGAAGGCCUUCGGGUUGUAAAGCACUUUUGUCCGGAAAGAAAUCCUUGGCUCUAAUACAGUCGGGGGAUGACGGUACCGGAAGAAUAAGCACCGGCUAACUACGUGCCAGCAGCCGCGGUAAUACGUAGGGUGCAAGCGUUAAUCGGAAUUACUGGGCGUAAAGCGUGCGCAGGCGGUUUGCUAAGACCGAUGUGAAAUCCCCGGGCUCAACCUGGGAACUGCAUUGGUGACUGGCAGGCUAGAGUAUGGCAGAGGGGGGUAGAAUUCCACGUGUAGCAGUGAAAUGCGUAGAGAUGUGGAGGAAUACCGAUGGCGAAGGCAGCCCCCUGGGCCAAUACUGACGCUCAUGCACGAAAGCGUGGGGAGCAAACAGGAUUAGAUACCCUGGUAGUCCACGCCCUAAACGAUGGCAACUAGUUGUUGGGGAUUCAUUUCCUUAGUAACGUAGCUAACGCGUGAAGUUGACCGCCUGGGGAGUACGGUCGCAAGAUUAAAACUUAAAUGAAUUGACGGGGUC